rnacentral:rRNA from 1 species
UACGGGGGGGGCAAGCGUUGUUCGGAAUUACUGGGCGUAAAGGCUCGUAGGCGGCCAACUAAGUCAGACGUGAAAUCCCUCGGCUUAACCGGGGAACUGCGUCUGAUACUGGAUGGCUUGAGUGUGGGAGAGGGAUGCGAAUUCCAGGUGUAGCGGUGAAUGCGUAGAUAUCUGGAGGAACACCGGUGGCGAAGGCGGCAUCCUGGACCAUUACUGACGCUGAGUGAGCGAAAGCCAGGGGAGCAAACGGG